CGCUGGUCCAUAAUUUAAACGUGAUGCAUGGUGGUCUUUGCUUUCUGCACUGUUUCUUUAUUCAGAAGCAGAGCACCUUCUUGAAAGAUUUGAUCAGAAAGAAAACGGGAAGCACGAUUAGGCCAUUUUAGAUUCCAGCAGGACCAGCACCUAGUAUCAUUAUGUCCAAGCCUUCACGAGCGAAAAGCCAAAAAGAAACGACAAGUCGACAAAAGCUUUGGAAGCCUGGUUCACCUUAGAGGCUCACCGAUGACGAUCCUCCCUCAGCCUCAUCGUGUCUCACGGGCAGGGUAAGCGGACACUCGAUUUCUCGUGUCCCACGGUCAGGGUUUGGCGAAAAAGAAAGAUUAGCGCGUUAUCAAUAAAUAAUUUCAUAUCAUUUGUGUCGUAUAA
rnacentral:lncRNA from 1 species